CUCCAUGCUGAGUGGAGAAGUAGUUGGCGCAUAGCGCUCCACAACACGCCCCUCUUUGUCGACCAAGAACUUGGAGAAGUUCCAUUUGAUAUUGUCACCGAAAAGACCACCUUUGCUGGACUUCAGAAACUUGUAGAUGGUGGUAUAAUGUGCCCAAAUUUACCUUAUCAAAAAUUGGAUACUCGGCCUUGAAGCGGGUGCAAGCAAAUUGGACAAUCUCCUCAUUAGUGCCAGGUUCCUGUCCACCAAACUGGUUGCAUGGGAAAGCAAGGAUCUCAAAACCUGUCGUCAAAUCAAAUUGACAAUGACAUUAGCAAUUGGUGAGGGAUUGGUAAUAAUUGGUACCACUGAGAUGCAACAUUGACGAUAAGGAGGACUUUCCCCUUGAAGGUGCUCAGGUCCACAUCUUUGCCACUUGCAUCCU
rnacentral:sRNA from 1 species